AACCGACACAACAACAACUGGAACAACAACACCGGCUAUAGUAACCCCCACUAAAACCACCACAGUCCUACCAGCAACCACCACAACAACCACCACAGCAACC